rnacentral:rRNA from 1 species
UGCGUAGGCGGCUUUUUAAGUCGGAUGUGAAAUCCCUGAGCUUAACUUAGGAAUUGCAUUCGAUACUGGGAAGCUAGAGUAUGGGAGAGGAUGGUAGAAUUCCAGGUGUAGCGGUGAAAUGCGUAGAGAUCUGGAGGAAUACCGAUGGCGAAGGCAGCCAUCUGGCCUAAUACUGACGCUGAGGUACGAAAGCAUGGGAAGCAAACA